CCCUUAGAUGUCCUGGGCCGCACGCGCGUUACACUGAUGCAUUCAACGAGCUUAUAACCUUGGCCGAGAGGCCUGGGCAAUCUUGUUAACGUGCAUCGUGAUAGGGAUAGAUUAUUGAAAUUAUUAAUCUUGAACGAGGAAUUCCUAGUAAACGCAGAUCAUCAAUCUGCAUUGAUUACGUCCCUGCCCUUUGUACACACCGCCCGUCGCACCUACCGAUUGGAUGGUCCGGUGAAUAAUUCGGACUGCAGCAGUGUUCGGUCACGAACGUUGCAGCGGAAAGUUUAGUGAACCUUAUCACUUAGAGGAAGGAGAAGUCGUAACA
rnacentral:rRNA from 1 species